rnacentral:rRNA from 1 species
GACGAACGCUGGCGGCGUGCCUAAUACAUGCAAGUUGAGCGCUGAAGGUUGGUACUUGUACCAACUGGAUGAGCAGCGAACGGGUGAGUAACGCGUGGGGAAUCUGCCUUUGAGCGGGGGACAACAUUUGGAAACGAAUGCUAAUACCGCAUAAAAACUUUAAACACAAGUUUUAAGUUUGAAAGAUGCAAUUGCAUCACUCAAAGAUGAUCCCGCGUUGUAUUAGCUAGUUGGUGAGGUAAAGGCCCACCAAGGCGAUGAUACAUAGCCGACCUGAGAGGGUGAUCGGCCACAUUGGGACUGAGACACGGCCCAAACCCCUACGGGAGGCAGCAGUAGGGAAUCUUCGGCAAUGGACGAAAGUCUGACCGAGCAACGCCGCGUGAGUGAAGAAGGUUUUCGGAUCGUAAAACUCUGUUGGUAGAGAAGAACGUUGGUGAGAGUGGAAAGCUCAUCAAGUGACGGUAACUACCCAGAAAGGGACGGCUAACUACGUG